GUAGUUGACGAGCACUUCAAUACAUUCUUCCAAAUUGUUUUGACGCAAUUGGUCUGAUGCUCAUGAUUCGCAUUAAACACCAGCACCAGGAGUUUUCUUCUGAUCAAAUAUCUGAUGUUUUGCCUCAGAAGACCCGGUCAUGAUUUCUUGUGUGAUUGAGAUUGCCUGGAAUAAAUUUGUUUUAGUGAAUGUUUUCAAGCAUUCAAUAUCAUUUGGUUGGUCCACAAGAUACAGAGGACCACUGACGAGUUUGGUUCCUGACAAGUGAGUUCUUGGAGCAUCAGACCCGAAUUGUUCAAGGUGGCUGCCGAUUGAGAACCUUCCCAUUUUAGUAGCAUUGUGUAUAUCUCUACACAUUGUCUAAAAUUCCUUAAUAAAUUGGCAUCUGAUGUGAAUAUCUAUUGAGAUUUCAACCAUAAGGAGACUCAUUAAGUGUUA